AUUGAACGCUGGCGGCAUGCCUUACACAUGCAAGUCGAACGGCAGCACGGGUGCUUGCCCCUGGUGGCGAGUGGCGAACGGGUGAGUAAUACAUCGGAACAUGUCCUGUAGUGGGGGAUAGCCCGACGAAAGCCGGAUUAAUACCGCAUACGAUCCACGGAUGAAAGCGGGGGACCUUCGGGCCUCGCGCUAUAGGGUUGGCCGAUGGCUGAUUAGCUAGUUGGUGGGGUAAAGGCCUACCAAGGCGACGAUCAGUAGCUGGUCUGAGAGGACGACCAGCCACACUGGGACUGAGACACGGCCCAGACUCCUACGGGAGGCAGCAGUGGGGAAUUUUGGACAAUGGGCGAAAGCCUGAUCCAGCAAUGCCGCGUGUGUGAAGAAGGCCUUCGGGUUGUAAAGCACUUUUGUCCGGAAAGAAAUCCUUGGCUCUAAUACAGUCGGGGGAUGACGGUACCGGAAGAAUAAGCACCGGCUAACUACGUG
rnacentral:rRNA from 1 species